UACGAAGGGGGCUAGCGUUGCUCGGAAUCACUGGGCGUAAAGGGCGCGUAGGCGGACUCUUAAGUCGGGGGUGAAAGCCCAGGGCUCAACCCUGGAAUUGCCUUCGAUACUGAGAGUCUUGAGUUCGGAAGAGGUUGGUGGAACUGCGAGUGUAGAGGUGAAAUUCGUAGAUAUUCGCAAGAACACCAGUGGCGAAGGCGGCUCACUGGCCCAUUACUGACGCUGAGGCACGAAAGCGUGGGGAGCAAACAGG
rnacentral:rRNA from 1 species